AUGUGUUCCAAUUUCUGGCCUUGCACCGACCAUCUAAUGGACCAUGGACUAAACGGCCACUGCCUGAAAGGACUAUGUCCCAUGGACCGCCACCCCCCCACAAGGUACAUCUCGCGCCUAUGGGCUGCUAUAACUAUCCAAGAAGACACUCGAAACAGGAAGGAUAAACAAACCCACCCGGUGGACUGCCGAGCUACAAGUCCCACGACACAGGAGCGAGAUUCUCUAAAAAGCCAAGGUCGCGGGUGGCCAAGAGGGCCCACUUGAAGACUUGGGAUCUCAGCAGGAAAUGUGAAGGUUGCUUAA